rnacentral:rRNA from 1 species
GCUUUUAGGUUUUGAAAGGUUAUUUAUGCUCGGUGUUUUUUAACAGCCGCGGUAAUUUGACCGUGCAAAGGUAGCAUAAUCAUUUGCCUUAUAACUGAGGGCUGGAAUGAACGAAUAAACAAAAGCUUUUCUUUAUUGGAGAAAGUAGUUGAAUUUUCUGUCUUAGUGAAGAAGCUAGGGUAGAAAAGGGGACAAGAAGACCCUUUCGAGCUUUACUAAUUUUCUUUCUGUUUGUAAUUAGUUUGGUUGGGGCGACCCAGGAAUAUCUUCCUUUGUUAUUUUGAUCCACAGUUUGUGAUUAAACGAAUAAGUUACCGAAGGGAUAACAGCGUAAUUUUCUUUGAGAGAUCU